GCUGCACACACUGAUAGCUCAGUUGGCUAGAGCAUGGUGCUGAUAACGCCAAGGUUGCAGGUUCAAUCCCAGUAUGGGGCAGCU
rnacentral:tRNA from 1 species